ensembl:lncRNA
GUUCACCUCACAAUCCCUCGUUCAUAUUCUCACAACCGAAUUCAUACUUCUUUACUAGUGUGAUGGCCUGUGCCCCUGGACACACUCGCGUCACGCGAGUGUAAACUCUGUGAACACCUGCUCAACACGUGCACAGGAUUGUAUACCGAUAAAAACGCCGGUGGUAAAUUCACCCGUUUCAAACUAAUUCAAAUCCACUCCCCAUUUCAGGCACUCUGAUGUACGUUUUAAGCAAUAACAGUGUACAACUUUCUCAUUAUUAUUAUUAUUAUUGUUUAAAACAUGAAGCAGGCGUGCGCAAUACAAUGUUAAAAUGUCUGCGUGGUUUUACACGGCUGUAAUAUUCCGUGACGCUAACAACUGUUAUUAAUCGUUAUGCCACGGAAUGGUUGAAUUCUUCUCAUAUUUGGUUGGACAGAAGGUACGCAUGAUUUAUUUUUUUUUUUAUUACCACAAGUACAGGUUCGUAUUAAUGCGCUCGUUCUAAUACGUUAGUGUUUCUAUAGCGACAGCUCGUGCACGGGGAUCGUAUAGUGGACACGCCACAUAAUCAAAGAUGAAUAAUAAAUGAAUUUGAUAAAAUGUGUGAUAGUUUAACAACGAAAUUCAUCUAAUGAGUCAGCACGUUUACAUGGGCAACAAUAAUCCGAUAUGAACCCGAUUAAGACGAUACUCUGAUUAAGAAGCUACCAUGUAAACAGCGAUUAUUGAUGACCUUAAUCCGACUAAAGUCAUACUCGAAGUAAACACAAAUGGAAUUAAGACGUGUGGAGUAUUCCUGUUUUAGUCGCGUUAUUGAGGUGUAUUACAGACACGUACACACCUUAAUCACACUGUUAACAUCGUGUAGAGUUUUCACCACAUUGUGUGACAGGACACGUACACACACGGCAGCGCUCAACCGUUUAACGGUAAACAAGAGAGCACGGCUGCGUCCCAAACCCCGUACUUACCUACUAUAUAGUAGGUAAAUACACGUAUCUCGGCUACUAUAUAGUAGGUAAAUACACGUAUCUCGGCUACUAUAUAGUAGGUAAGUACACGUAUCUCGGCUACUAUAUAGUAGGUAAGUACACGUAUCUCGGCUACUAUAUAGUAGGUAAGUACACGUAUCUCGGCUACUAUAUAGUAGGUAAGUACACGUAUCUCGGCUACUAUAUAGUAGGUAAGUACACGUAUCUCGGCUACUAUAUAGUAGGUAAGUACGCGGUUUGGGACGCAGCCCACAGCUUCAAGCAGUCGUCUAUUUGCACGUACAGCAUGACAAAUAAUUAACCGCACUUGAAGCGUCCGUAGAAUUUAAAAUGAAACACCCGAAACUGUAUACGGGACCAUAACGAAGACCGACUGUAUGUGGACGUGAAAUUCUGGAGGGAACGGUGUGGCGUGGGGACGUAAUGACGUGUGAUUUUAAUCGCUCCAUGAUCUAUAGCAUGUAAAACCUGAACAUGGAAGGAGUAUUCUAAACGCGACUCAUGUAAACACCUUAAUCACAAUAUAGUCUUACUCAGAGUAAGGUCAGUAAUUAGAUCACCGCUGUCCAUGUAAACAGAGCGUCGGGUGUCGGAGCUUCGUAACAGUCACAGUGCUUUCUGUAGUUUCUCAUCACAGGAAAGUCUUCCGGAGAGUGGAUUUUCCACUUUCCACUUAGUUUUGUAAAAUGCCAUCCUUUUUUAAAAAUUUUUUUUAGUCCUAUUAACUCUGUCCAUACAGGAUUUCACAGAGUUUAUUAAUAUUUUUUUGUGAUCGUUGCAGCCAAAAAUGCUUGAUUUUGCUGCGGGUUUUUUCAAAAUUUGUGAUACAGUUUGCAGAGUUUUUGUGCUUUUUUUUUGUGUGGAAAACUAUUGAAUUGCACGAAAUUGCCUUUCACAGUGAUGGUUAUUGGGUAAAUGAGACCUUUUAGCUGUAAUAAUGUUCAAUGCAUGUGACUUGAAAAGGGUUCUGGCUGAAUGCGCGUUGUGAUGACGUCGCACCUUCACCCAAAUCUGCAGAAAAUCUGUUGUAAUUUUGAAAAAUUGCAAGCUCCUAAAAAUAUUAUGGAGUUUCCUUGGGUUUGUGUAAAUUUCAGCGAUCGCAAAAUCCCGGCGUGACCGAUGAACUGUUUAUUGUUGUUGUUGUUGUUGUUGUUGUUGUUGUUAUUGCUGCGUUUGACUAGCUUUGGGAGUGGGAGGCUGGAACUGGGAAUGACGUCAUUUUGGACGAGUUCCUGAGAAGGAGUUCUUGUCUCAUUAACUAUAAACUGCUGAAAACCUGACGUGUUGUUGUUUUUUAAGAAAUGAAACAUUGUCCACGGCGACACAUCAGUAUUUAUGUAUGCAUAAUAUGACCUGAAGCGUAGCAUACAAUCCCGGAGUGCAUCACGCCAUCCCGGAGUAUAAUAUUUUCAUAUAAUGGCGGAGUCCAUUGUGUGCUAUUGCUUACAUAAGUGCUAAAUUGACCAUGCAACUGUAAGUGUAUGUAUGUAACAUGUAUGACGGUUUCAUUUGAAUAUGUAUUUUUCCCUCUGUGAUGUGCCAAGGAUGCGCCGUCACCUUGUUUUGAACUCAUCUUUUGUGACUAUAAUUGCAGGAAGAAAAUUCGAGUCUGUUGGCAUGACUGUCCCGACUGACGUUAACACGUACUCACUUGGAAAAAACAAAAACCCCUAAGCUCUGAGGAGAAUCCACUAGUUUGGUAUGGAAAUCCGUCUGCAUGCCAGUGUAGACUCCCUGUCCACUUUAAGAGGAACACGUGUACACCUGCUCAUUCGUGCAGUUAUCUAAUCAGCCAAUCAUGCAGCAGCAGCACAGUGUGGAGAAUCAAACAGAACAAGCACUUCAGGUAAUGUUCACGAUGGGGAAAAUUUAACCGUGGCAUGGUGGGUUUUUUUUCUUUUUUUUUUUUCUUUUUCUUGCCAGGGCUGGUAUGAGUAUUUCAGGUAUUUCUCUAGGGUCUACACAGAAUGGUGCAAAAAACAAAAAGCACAGAGCGAGCGACAGUUCUGUGGGUGGAAACGCCUGGUUGAUGAGAGAGGUCGGAGAAAAAUGACCAGACUGGUUCAAGCUGCCUGGAAGGAUAUAAUGACUCAUAUAGUCACUCUUUACAACCAUGGUGAUCGGAAAAGCAUCUCAGCAUGCACAAAACACUGCGUUCCUCUCCUAUCAGCCAAGAACAGGAACCUGAGGCUAUCAGGAGUGGAACCUGAUGUGGUCUUGUGCUGUUGUAGCUCAUCCACCUCACGGUUUGGUGUGUUCUGAGAUGCUUUUCUGUUCACCGUGGUUGCAAAGAGUGCUUAUUUGAGUUACUCUAGAAUUCCCGUCAACUCGGACCAUUCUCUCUCAUCAUCAGGGUGUUUCUUCCUGCAGACGCUCCACUCGCCGGAGACUGCUGUAUGGGAAAAUCCCAGGAGAUCAGCAGUUUCUGAAAUACUCAAACCAGCCCAUCUGGCAACCAGAGAACCAUGCCGUGGAUAAAGUCACAGAGAUCACAUUUUUUUCUUCGUUUUGAUGUUUGACGUGAACAUUUAAGUGAAACUCUCGACCUGUAUUUCUGAAAUUUUUGCUACCGAGCAAAAAAAACAAAACUCCACUCCACUCUUUAGAUCACAUGUGAGAAAUAUAAUGCUGUAAGAUUUUGUGUAAAUAGCCCAACUGGGUCAGUCACGAUUGUUGUUUCCUAGCCCAGAAUAAUUGCAGCUGAAUUUAGCGCCCCCCGUCCGUCCUAACCAUCGUUCGAGCGCUAGGUCUGAGAUUAAGGAUGAGUAGUAAUGUAGUUUAUCCGAUGCUGCGGUGAAUCUCAUCUCGAGCGUGUCUCUUUCUAAAAAAGAAGGGAAGGAGAGAAUAAAAAGACCUUGCAGAAUUUGUGUAUUCUAUUUUAAAAAGUACAUUAUGUCUGAGAAGUCAGGCUGCAUGGUGUAACCGGAGCCAGGACUUUCUGCUGAAGCGAAGGGCGGGAGCGUAGAACGAAACAGUCGAAAAUAGGCACAGUCGAGCAAAGUGUAGGAGGAGAGGGUUAGCAGUCGCACUGCUGGGAGAGACAGUCUUUCUUUAUCUCUCUCUGUGUUUCUCUCUCUAUCUAUCUAUGUCUCUGUAUCUCUCUCUAUAUAUCUAUCUCUGUGUAUCUCUAUCUAUCUCUUGCACACAGUAUGGCGUGGAGUGCAGCAGUAAUGGCAAGUGUGUAAUUUUACACGUGACUAACACGGGAAGUGGAAAUACAUGUGUAACUGUACAUCAUAUUGUCAGUGUAUUCCUUCCUUCCCUCCCUCCGAGGAGAAUACACGAGAUCAC